rnacentral:misc_RNA from 1 species
GAUGAAGAACGUAGCGAAAUGCGAUAAGUAAUGUGAAUUGCAGAAUUCAGUGAAUCAUCGAAUCUUUGAACGCACCUUGCGCCCUUUGGCCAUUCCGAAGGGCAUGCCUGUUUGAGUAUCAUGAACACCUCAACUCUUCAUGGUUUUCCGUGAUGAGCUUGGACUUUGGGGGUCUUGCUGGCCUAUGGUCAGCUCCUCUAAAAUAAAUCAGCUUGCCAGUGUUUGGUGGGUAUCACAGGUGUGAUAACUAUCUACGCUUGUGGUUUUCCACCAGGUAACCUUCAGCAGUGGAGGUUCGCUGGAGCUCACAGAUGUGUCUCUCCUCAGUGAGGACAGCUCUUUGAACGUUUGAUCUCAAAUCUGGUAGGACUACCCGCUGAACUUAAGCAUAUCAAUAAGCGGAGGA